rnacentral:rRNA from 1 species
UACGUAGGGCGCAAGCGUUGUCCGGAAUUAUUGGGCGUAAAGAGCUCGUAGGCGGCCUGUUGCGUCCGCUGUGAAAUCCCGGGGCUCAACCCCGGGCGUGCAGUGGAUACGGGCUGGCUGGAGGCAGGCAGGGGAGAACGGAAUUCCUGGUGUAGCGGUGAAAUGCGCAGAUAUCGGGAAGAACACCCGUGGCGAAGGCGGCUCUCUGGGACGGUACUGACGCUGAGACGCGAAAGCGUGGGGAGCGAACAGG